CCAAACCACCCACCAUUCCCAUAACCUACAGCUAAGAGGGGGACCUCACCCCUCACCAUGACUUUGGGAGCAUGGUGUGUGGGUUAGAAAACUAUGCGAACACCUACACCCUGAACUCUUUCACAUUCAAAAGAAGAAAAGAAAAUAUGUAUACAUACACAAUAAUAAUAACCCCAUGUCCCCAUGUUUUUUCACCAUACACCACACACACUUGUGUGUGCUUGUCGGAGCAAUCGAGAGUGGCAAGAGGGACUAGAUAAAGAAGUGGGUGACCGGCCACCUGGUCACGGCGGAGCCGACGAGAUACACGGCAGCCGUCGACACGCCGGUGACGGCAAGCGGCGGCGGCAAAAGGUUUUCCGGCGACCCCUUCUCCGACGAAAUACCUCUACCCCACUAAAAACGAGCCUCCUAAACUUGAAUCCGACCUCUGAUUUCCGAUUUAAACAACUGUGGUGGCAGAUUCAUGUCCGUCAGCCGGGUUUCACGAGUUCGACGCGAGUAAGUUCAACACCUUCAGUUUCUAAACUCCGAUCUGUUUGAAUCUCCUUCAUUUAAAGUUUCUCCUACUUUUUUUAUACAAAUUUUUAACUCGGGUUCGUUGGUUUUUUUUUUCGGAUGAUGUUGAUGAUGAAUCUGCUGAUGCCGAUGAUGAUGGUGAUGUCGGUGGUGGCAGACGGCAGCCGGAGCCACGCCGUCGGAGAAGGGCGGCGGCUGUGGUGGUGGUUAUACAGUUCAGCUCAGGUCAGACUUGGUCGAACAGGUUCGGUCAACAUUUAGUCAACAGCAGUUAAUGGAUUGGUUUCGGGUCAGAAUUCGGUUCGGGUUUCGCGGCACGGUCGGUCCGGGUCAACUCAAUUCGAUGUCGGGUCAACCAAAUCAACAGCGGUCAAACUGUCAACUAUGGUCAAACGGUCAAAGUCAGUCAAGACUCGGUCAACUCAGGACCUGGAAUGUCAUAGUUGCACGCUAGCUAAUUCAUGUUCUUGGAACGACACUACGGAAACACGCUAAGCUAGCUUUGCACAGGAAUGUCAAGUUAAUACACGUCCCUGAUUUGAUGGAAGAUACGAAACUUUGGCGAGAUUGAAAUUCGAAGAGUGGGACCAGUCAUCAAGGUGUGGAUAUCAAUCCUAGCUUGACAAUUUCGUCCCCAAAAUGUGGUUUAUUGAACGAACAAGAUAAAAUCUCGAGUCAUCAAUAAGGAUCCACUAGAAUAUGAAAUGGAAAUUUCCAUCAAGAUUGGGAUGUCACUCCUGACUUGGUGGUAAAUUUCGUGCAAAAUAACAUGAUGGAUAGAUUGAAAUUCGUCACCAAAGGCGGGAUUCACCCCUAUUUUGAUGAGUCGUUUCGAUUGUGGAAUAUGAGCGUCUUCAAGUCCUUAGCGUGUAAUUUGCGUAUAAUGUCUUAGGAUGAACGAAUCGUUUAAUUAUGGCGAAAGAAAUAGAAAGAAGCAAGGUAGGAGAAUUUGAGUGUCUUUAAAGCAUGAAACAAGAAUGGUCAAGUAUGGGUACCUGAACUAUAGACUAGGUCAAAAGCAUAGCAAUUUUCCUAAUUCCCUAUAGUUAUGGCUCUGAUACCAAUCUGUCACACCCCAACCGAUGGCGGAAACAUCGGGAUGAGACGAAAACUAGAUUGCUCGAGACUUCAUAACGCUUACGUGUGUCAAGUAUUUAAUGUUUGCAUUUUACAUGGUUUGAUCUAAAACAUAACAAAUUUAAAAUAAAUAAUGCACAAUAAGUAUUCAAAUAAUUAUAGUUCAUUUCAUUUAUAAUGAAUUAUUACAAGUAUUGGAACCAUAAUACAACAGGAUUGAAGGUAAAUUACAAUACAACGAGCAACAAAGUUUAAAUGUGUUUGAUGUCGGUUGCGUUAAAAACGCUUACGCGUCGCUUGUCAUUUUUUUUAUUCGUUUUCGACUGUGAUUCUAAAAAUAGAAAGCGAAUACGAUUUUUUUUAAAUAGAAAUGCAGAAAUACGAGGCGUUACAGGUGCUCAGGCAUGUAUGAAGUUUUAUGCUGAUUCAAAACGAAGGGAUGUUGAAUUUCAAGCGGGUGAGUGGGUGUACGUCAAAUUGCAGCCUUUUCGCCAACAUUCGCUUCGUCUGCAUCGUCAUUAUAAACUGAACCGAAGGUACUUUGGGCCUUACCAAGUUCUUGAGAAAGUUGGCCAAGUCGCUUAUAAACUUAAUCUGCCAUCCGAAUCUAAAAUUCAUAAUGUGUUCCAUGUUUCAAUGCUCCGUAAAUGUAUCGGAACACCCAACCAGCAAGUUACACCACUCCAUUUGGUGGAUUCUUCCACCACCCUCAUCCUGGAACCAUUUGCAGUCCUGGAUCAACGCACACUGUUUCGAGGUUCAACUCCAAUUCCUCAAUACUUGAUUCAAUGGUCAGGUCUACCUGCCACGGAUGCCACUUGGGAGGACAAGACUAGUUUGCAAAAAUCCUUUCCUAACUUCCACCUUGAGGACAAGGUGUUUCUAAAUGAAGGGGGUAAUGUUGUGCCCACAACCAGCCCAACAAAGAGCCAAGAAUUCAGCCCACAAGCAGCAGGCCCAAACCAGAUCAGAAAGAGUGAAAGAGCAAAAGUCCUUCCUGCAAAGUUAAAGGACUACAAGUUGCAAUAGUGAUUGGUGCAGGGGUAUUUAAUUAAUUAUGUUGUUCUAUUAAGUGUCAUGAGAAUGUGGUGAGGAGGGCAUGAUGAUUGUUAAGAAGUUUGUUAGAUCUCUCUUCUCACCCAAUUUGCUGUAACUUCUCAUCCCCCAUUCUUUUGAUUAAUAGAACCCUAUCCCUAUAUGCUCUCUUAUUUGAAUUUC